UACGGAGGGGGCUAGCGUUGUUCGGAAUUACUGGGCGUAAAGCGCACGUAGGCGGCUUUUAAGUCAGAGGUGAAAGCCCGGAGCUCAACUCCGGAAUUGCCUUUGAGACUGGAUCGCUUGAACGUCGGAGAGGUGAGUGGAAUUCCGAGUGUAGAGGUGAAAUUCGUAGAUAUUCGGAAGAACACCAGUGGCGAAGGCGGCUCACUGGACGACUGUUGACGCUGAGGUGCGAAAGCGUGGGGAGCAAACAGG
rnacentral:rRNA from 1 species